rnacentral:tRNA from 1 species
GUUAAUGUAGCUUAAACUUAAAGCAAGGCACUGAAAAUGCCUAGAUGAUCUACGUAAUCGC